rnacentral:rRNA from 1 species
UACGAAGGGGGCUAGCGUUGUUCGGAAUCACUGGGCGUAAAGCGCACGUAGGCGGGCUGUGUCAGUCAGGGGUGAAAUCCCGGGAGCUCAACGUCCGGAACUGCCUCUGAUACAGCACGUCUUGAGUUCGAGAGAGGGUGGGUGGAAUUCCUAGUGUAGAGGUGAAAUUCGUAGAUAUUCGCAAGAACACCAGUGGCGAAGGCGGCUGAACUGGUCCGGAUCGUGACGCUGAGGCGCGAAAGCGGUGGGGAGCAAACAGGGAUUAAGAUACCCU